ensembl:lncRNA
AGAUCAGCAGCAGUCAUCAGUCCCUCUUUGCAAUCAGUAAAUAGCCUCUCCCUCUGGCCCCAAACAAAGGAUGCAGGCAACAGAAGGCAGCCGCAGCCCUUGCGCUCCCCUCUGAGCAGCUGCCAAAAAGUCCUCUCUCCCCUCGUGUGAUCAUAAUGGAAGGGACGGCUCUGCUGGGGUGUGCUGGCGCGUUCUGCCUCGCUGCCCAGCGCGGGAUGCUCUCCCUUCACGCUCCGCUGCCUUGGAGCUGCACGCAGGAGUUGCCUCCAGCAGCCCUUGCCAGCCCCUGGAUAUUUUGGACACUGAGUGCUGCAUGAACAAUAGGAACGCAGCUCUUGGCCAGGAGUCGAGGCCAAGCAAAGAGCUCCCGGACUGUGACCAGUAAAAAGCAGGAGAGAUUUUCUUCUAGCGCUGUAUCAUGAAGGGGAGUGGGUGGCUGGGAAGGGCUUCUCUCUCUCCCUGUUUAUUCUUGUCGAGGAGAAAUCUUUGCCUGCUGAAGGAGUGUGAAAGCACCAAGUGCCCAUUCAGGCUGUAAGAUACACCAAGGACUUUAGCGCUAACUCACAUUAAAGCUCUCCAUGGCAAUGGUGUGAAUACAUGUAGCAUCAAGCAGAAGCAGAGAGCUUCUGGGAUCAGAGAGGGUUGUACUGGUCAGGGGAAACAGGACAAGCAGGGCAGCUUUUAUUCAUUCCAGCCCCAAAUAUCUCUGCAGUUCUACCUUGCUCUGCAAAAGUCUCCCAGGUUCACUUGUUCCUCUGAGAUUUCUUUCAUCCUGCUUAGUGAGCUCACAGCUGCAGCUGCUGAAAGGUCUGAGCUGCAUUAAAGCUUGGAGCUGGGGAACAGAUCUCCUACAACUUGGGGCAAGAGGGGAAGCCCAGGCUGAAAGAACCAGACCUGGCUGAGGUGAUCCCACAAGGGGCUGCAGUCCCAGCUCUCACCAUGCUGAGAACUCAGGAGAAGGGGACCCCAGCUGCUUGUGGGUGGGGUAAAAAUGUGGAAGUGAAUACAGCCAGCCAAGAUUACUUCUUGGAUCAGAUUCCAAGUGUCCAGGAAUUCCAGGCUGAAGUUCUUUCCAUUAGAUCCUGCUGUCACCUAAUACAAACUGCUGCUGAUAGCAGGUUGCAGAUUUGAGACAAAAGCAGUGAAGUGGUUCUUCAGUUUGCCUGGGUUCCUGGAACUGACAGGCAUCAGCACCAGAGAUGGCAUGCUAGGCUGGAGAUAAUAUUUUUAUCUAGCCUCACUGGCACGUUAACCUGGAGAGAAAGAGGUCAUCUUCUAACUCAGGACCAUGCCUGCAUGACUUGGAGCCUGCAUCUCAUUGUCUGAUGGGAGAAGCACCAUAUCCAGGGCAAGGUCUUUCUUUUGCAGGCAGACCUCUGUGUCUGCAUGGUGGCUCACUGACUUAUCCACUGGUACAAGGAUCCUCCAGAGUGGGUCUAUGGACUUAGAUCCUAAGCAGGAAGCAAUAGAUUGUGCUAUGCAUUCAUUUCAAUUUCUUUACUCCGUGGUAAGUUGGAAAAAUUACCUAAGAAUUAGUUUUCACAAAAUAAUAUAUAUGGUACUUCAAAUUGGCGUUUUUAGUCAACUCUAAUUUCUUUGUCAAAUAAGUAGGUUCUUGCUUUUUCUAUCCAUAAAGACAGUUUUGCUUCUGAGACUCCUAACUCAGCACUCAGAAUGACAGAAGUUGUUAUUUUCUGAUCACUAGAGUGUUUAGAGAAAGAGCUUUCCUUAUUUUCCUUCUUUUUUAAAUACCAGCCAGUUUUCUCUUCUGUAGAUCAAAGCUUUCAUGACUUUUUUGUAUGUUUGUUUGUUUGCCUGUGCAGUUGUUUCUCAGGGUCAGAAAUGAUUUAGAAUGCAAAGGAGAAAAAGAAAUAAUCUUUUUUUUCCCUUUAGCUUUUUAAA